rnacentral:rRNA from 1 species
CGUGACAAACCGGAGGAAGGUGGGGAUGACGUCAAGUCCUCAUGGCCCUUAUGGGUAGGGCUUCACACGUCAUACAAUGGUCGGUACAGAGGGUUGCCAAGCCGCGAGGUGGAGCCAAUCCCUUAAAGCCGAUCGUAGUCCGGAUCGUAGUCUGCAACUCGACUACGUGAAGUUGGAAUCGCUAGUAAUCGCGGAUCAGCAUGCCGCGGUGAAUACGUUCCCGGGCCUU